rnacentral:lncRNA from 1 species
CAAUGCAAUUCUGGGAAUGUUCAGGCUCUCUCUGUUCUUUCCUCUCUUGCAAACCAUGGGCACCCUUGGGUCCCUUGGGGUCACUAUGUUACACCUGCUUUUUAUCUGUCUGGGCAAGAGCUGCUCAAGCCACACCUUGUGACACUGAAAAGGCAGGUCGGGUGAAGAAGAGCAGGAUGUUUCAUUUUUAUCAAGCAUCACCUGAUUCAAAAUGUAGCCACUGAAAAGAAGCCAUCGUUUUUGGCCUGCGUCUCUGAGGAUAAGAUAGUGCGUGGGUGAUGGAUGCAGCCCAGAUCAGCUAUGAAAAUACCCAGCCGGCCUGCAGCCCUCCCGGCAGAUGCUGAAAAGGAAACCCGACUGGGAGAUGCCGCCCACCCUUAUCCCCAGAGAGCUGCGUUGUUUCCUCUUGCCUUGGCCUUUGGAUCCGGCCAUAGCAAGCAUCCCUGGGCACCUGGCUGAAGCUGGAAACUCGGGAUAAGAAUGGAAGCCCUGGAAGGGAAGAAGAACCGAGGAGUGAGCUUGCCCGGAGGACAGCACAUUGCACUCUCACCUCCUUUGCAGUUAAGUGUGAAAUAGUGCCAAUAGAGUGUAAAAGAAAAGAAAGAAGAUGAUUCACCUCCCAAAGAUUCCCCACUGCUGUGUCCCUUCUAUCAACUUGAUACAAAAAAACACAAUGGCCCCGGGAACCACGUGUUGAAGAUGAGAGAGCUAAAAGAUGGAAAGAGACUGGAGCCCUGAGUCACCACCUGGAGGAAAACUACCCACCCAUCAGGAAUUUCUACUACACAUUUGGGA